UACGAAGGGGGCUAGCGUUGCUCGGAAUCACUGGGCGUAAAGGGUGCGUAGGCGGGUCUUUAAGUCAGGGGUGAAAUCCUGGAGCUCAACUCCAGAACUGCCUUUGAUACUGAGGAUCUUGAGUUCGGGAGAGGUGAGUGGAACUGCGAGUGUAGAGGUGAAAUUCGUAGAUAUUCGCAAGAACACCAGUGGCGAAGGCGGCUCACUGGCCCGAUACUGACGCUGAGGCACGAAAGCUUGGGGAGCAAACAGG
rnacentral:rRNA from 1 species